AUCACUUCUUGGUCUUUUGGCUAAGAUCAAAUAUAGUAUCUGUUCUUAUCAGUUUAAUAUUUGAUCUGCUCUCUAUCCAAGGGCUGUGUAUUAAAUGGAUUUUUUUGGGGGGAAAGGUAGUAUGAUGCCUCCAGCUUUGUUCAUUUUUGCUCAGAAUUG
rnacentral:snRNA from 1 species